GAUGAACGCUGGCGGCGCGCCUAACACAUGCAAGUCGAACGGCACCCCUCUCCGGAGGGAAGCGAGUGGCGAACGGCUGAGUAACACGUGGAGAACCUGCCCCCUCCCCCGGGAUAGCCGCCCGAAAGGACGGGUAAUACCGGAUACCCCGGGGUGCCGCAUGGCGCCCCGGCUAAAGCCCCGACGGGAGGGGAUGGCUCCGCGGCCCAUCAGGUAGACGGCGGGGUGACGGCCCACCGUGCCGACAACGGGUAGCCGGGUUGAGAGACCGACCGGCCAGAUUGGGACUGAGACACGGCCCAGACUCCUACGGGAGGCAGCAGUGGGGAAUCUUGCGCAAUGGGGGGAACCCUGACGCAGCGACGCCGCGUGCGGGACGGAGGCCUUCGGGUCGUAAACCGCUUUCAGCAGGGAAGAGUCAAGACUGUACCUGCAGAAGAAGCC
rnacentral:rRNA from 1 species